rnacentral:rRNA from 1 species
AAACCUGUUUAAUUUUCAAUCAGCGUCUGAACAAAUUAAUAAUUACAACUUUCAACAACGGAUCUCUUGGUUCUGGCAUCGAUGAAGAACGCAGCGAAAUGCGAUAAGUAGUGUGAAUUGCAGAAUUCAGUGAAUCAUCGAAUCUUUGAACGCACAUUGCGCCCCUUGGUAUUCCAUGGGGCAUGCCUGUUCGAGCGUCAUUUGUACCUUCAAGCUCUGCUUGGUGUUGGGUGUUUGUCCUUGCUCUAGUGGCGGGACUCGCCUUAAAGUAAUUGGCAGCCAGUGUUUUGGUUUUGAAGCGCAGCACAAGUCGCGAUUCAAGUCUAUACGCUAGUUUCCACAAGUCUUUUAUCACUUUUGACCUCGGAUCAGGUAGGGAUACCCGCUGAACUUAAGCAUAUCAAUAAGCGGAGGAG